rnacentral:rRNA from 1 species
UUAGCGGCGGACGGGUGAGUAACACGUGGGUAACCUACCUAUAAGACUGGGAUAACUUCGGGAAACCGGAGCUAAUACCGGAUAAUAUUUCGAACCGCAUGGUUCGAUAGUGAAAGGUGGUUUUGCUAUCACUUAUAGAUGGACCCGCGCCGUAUUAGCUAGUUGGUAAGGUAACGGCUUACCAAGGCGACGAUACGUAGCCGACCUGAGAGGGUGAUCGGCCACACUGGAACUGAGACACGGUCCAGACUCCUACGGGAGGCAGCAGGG